ACGCCGUGAAGACCUCCGUUGCAGCCGUGUGUCAUUGUUGUACAGCUGAGGAAGCAACGCCUCAAAGACCUCUGCUACUGCCGUGAAGACUACACUGUGAAGGUACCUACACAAUUACAAGGUUAGGAGUGUGGAUACUAUGUUAUGAAGUUUAUGAGAGAAGUAAUCACACAACAAGAGUUGAUCAUUCCUGAAAAUCAUUUUGUUGGAGUAAGAUGUUCGCAUUUUACUAUGGAGCAAAUAGAAGAUUUAGUUAAAGAGUUGUCAGAAUAUAUUGUGGGC